GCAGCGCCUGGCGCAGUUCGACGCGCGCGGCCAGCGCCUGCGCGCGCGCCGCAUCGAGCGUGCCGUUCCAGUCCGCGCCGCCGCC
rnacentral:tRNA from 1 species